GGACCCUUAGCAUAACUGGCUAAUGCAUCAGGUUUUUACCCUGUGGACUAUAGGUUCGAAUCCUAUAGGGUCCACCA
rnacentral:tRNA from 1 species